rnacentral:rRNA from 1 species
AUUGAACGCUGGCGGCAGGCUUAACACAUGCAAGUCGAGCGGAGUGAUGGUGCUUGCACUAUCACUUAGCGGCGGACGGGUGAGUAAUGCUUAGGAAUCUGCCUAUUAGUGGGGGACAACAUCUCGAAAGGGAUGCUAAUACCGCAUAAGCUCAACGGGAGAAAGCAGGAGAUCACUUGUGACCUUGCGCUAAUAGAUGAGCCUAAGUCGGAUUAGCUAGUUGGUGGGGUAAAGGCCCACCAAGGAGACGAUCUGCAGCGGGUCUGAGAGGAUGAUCCGCCACACUGGGACUGAGACACGGCCCAGACUCCUACAGGAGGCAGCAGUGGGGAAUAUUGGACAAUGGGGGGAACCCUGAUCCAGCCAUGCCGCGUGUGUGAAGAAGGCCUUAUGGUUGUAAAGCACUUUAAGCGAGGAGGAGGCUCUUUUGGUUAAUACCCAAGAUGAGUGGACGUUACUCGCAGAAUAAGCACCGGCUAACUCUGUGCCAGCCGCCGCCGUAAGAC